rnacentral:rRNA from 1 species
UAUGGUUAAUAGCAUAUUCAUUUGACGUUAGCUGCAGAAGAAGCACCGGCUAACUCCGUGCCAGCAGCCGCGGUAAUACGGAGGGUGCGAGCGUUAAUCGGAAUUACUGGGCGUAAAGCGCAUGCAGGUGGUUUGUUAAGUCAGAUGUGAAAGCCCGGGGCUCAACCUCGGAAUUGCAUUUGAAAACUGGCAAACUAGAGUACUGUAGAGGGGGUAGAAUUUCAGGUGUAGCGGUGAAAUGCGUAGAGAUCUGAAGGAAUACCGGUGGCGAAGGCGGCCCCCUGGACAGAUACUGACACUCAGAUGCGAAAGCGUGGGGAGCAAACAGGAUUAGAUACCCUGGUAG